rnacentral:lncRNA from 12 species
CCGGGUUUAUCACCUCUGGUUUCUGGAAAUGGACAUUCAUUUUGGGAAACAAGUGGAAGAGCAGCGUUCUGCCAGGCACAAAGCGACUCAAUGGGAUGUCUGGACUGAACCAUAGGUGAGAAUCUCUCCUCCCAAGCACAGAGCACUCCUGGAAGAAGCUCAUGCUGGAAUGCAGAAGGGAGUGGGCAAACCCA